GGAUCACAGGAGAUCCCACAACUUCUCUGGGCAGCCUGUCCCAGUGCUCUGUCACCCAAAGCACAGAGUUCUGCCUCACGUGGCGAUGAAAGCUCCUGUGGUUCAGUUUAUACCCAUUGCCCCUCAUCCUAUCACCGGUCACCACUGGUAAGAGUUUGGCCCCAUCCUCUUUACGCAGGUUUUUGUAGGGGUUGGCAAGAUCCCCCCUCCGUCCCCUCUAGGCUAAACAGGCCUCAGUCUUUCCUCACAGGACAGGUGCUCCAAUCCCUUAAUCACCUCCGUCCCUCCGUGCUGGACCCCUCUACAAGCUCCACAUCCCCCUUGUGCCGCCGAGACACAGAAUUUGGGCUGAUUCGGGAAAAAAAAAAAAAAAAAAAAACACACACAGAAAGUGACAGGCAGAGGAAGCAGGGGGCAGGGGAGGAGGGCAGCCCGGGUGCAGCCCAGCCCACCCCAGCGCGCCCCGACCCCGCCACCCACCCCGGCUCGCCCCCGGGGGUCCCGCUGCCCCCCGCCGUGCCCGACCCCGGGGACUCACCGCCUGGCUCCUGGUGCCGGCGGAGGGCGAGCCUUGCAGCAGCUGCUCCAGGCAGGCGGUGCUGGGCAGCGAGGAGCUCUUCUGGUGGGACAGGUGCGCCCCGGGCCGCCGGCACGGCUCGGAGCCGCCCCCGGGACCCUGCUCGCCCCCCGGCCGGGCGGAGGGGGGGGCGGCGGGGGUUGACCGGGCGGCCGGCGGGGCCUUCCCGGGGGGCGGCCGGUGCUCGGGCGGGCGGCGCAGGGCGGAGCCGGCCUCGCCGCCCUGCUCGGGGGGCUCGGCGGCCGAGCAGCACAGGUUGGGCUGGGAGGACGAGAAGACGCGGUCCAGCGCCUGCCGCCGCCGCCGGAGCCCCCCCCAGCGCCCCGUGGCCGCCGGCUCCCCCUUGGCGCUCGCUGGGGCCGGGGGCUCCGCAGUGCGGCGCUUGCCCCCCAGCUGCAGGUUCCUCCACAGCCGGGCCUGGAAGGAUGCGGCCGGCUCGGCAUCGCCGGGCUUACCCUCCUUGCCCGGCUCCAUCCUCCUCCGGCGGCGGCCCCGGCGGCACAGCCCGGCCGGCUCGGAGCCCUCAGCCCCCGGCGGGCCGGGACGGAGCGGCGCCGCCUGCUGCUGCUGCUGCUGCUGCUGCUGCU
rnacentral:lncRNA from 1 species